CUCCAGCAUUGACUUAUCCCAUUUGAAGGACUUGGUUUAGCAUGAAUGCAUAUCAUAUAAAGCAGAAAGCAUCAUUCCGGAAAAAUGAAAACAAUCUGAAGCAGAUGGUUAUAAUUUCAAAAGCUCAAGAGUGGAGUUAUUCAUGUUAAAGUGAAUUGCUGAAGGCUUGAAGCUUAAUUCUUAACAAAUUCACUAUCAGGUUGUUUCUCCUCCUCUUUGUUCUAUUAUUUUUCGAUUGCUUACAAGAAUAUUUGAUGUUUUUCAAAUGACAUUAAUUUAUAUGUUUUGCUCUAAUUACCUAUCCUGUAAUUUUUAAAACAUAUUGCAUCGUAUGUCAACGCCAUAUAUUACAUUCAUGUCCAAUAGUAUAUACACUUCCUACUUCCUAGUUCCAGAUUCGUGCUAAAGCUGUUAUUGGAUUAAGUGAUACUUAAUUGAUCCAACUUAAUUUCAUGUUGCUGGUCUAUAACAUGCAGUGACCACACCAGAAUUGAAAAUAUUAAGGAAUGGACGGAGCUUCAUCAGUGAUUCCAGAAUAUUCGGAGAUAGGCAGCACAAGUAGUUCAGAGAGUCAAGCUCAGGCUCAGUAUUUGGAGACACAAUUAACCAACAUGCUUCGAAAAGUGGAUCCAGAAAUUACAGAACUCAAUGAGAAAUGCAUUUAUAGAGUACCAGAAAAAUUUCGCCGUGUUAAUCCAAAAGCCUAUACUCCUCGGGUUGUUUCAAUUGGCCCGUUUCACAAUCCACGGUACUCUAACGGAGGUGACAAUUUGAAACUAAUGGAAGAACGAAAGCUGAAAUAUCUUGAGAAAUUUCUAAAUAGAAACAAGCACUUGAGCAUGAAGGGUUUAUUUCUCAGACUUAUUGAGAAGGAAAAGCAGAUAAGAGGUUAUUAUGCAGAGCCUGUCAGUUAUAGCAGCGACGAUUUCUUAACGAUGAUUCUAGUUGAUGCUUGUUUUAUAAUUGAGCAUUUUCUUAGAUACUAUACAGGCUUAACUUUAACAGAAAGAGACACCUUAUCAGAACCAUGCUUGUUAAGUGAUAUUUAUCAUGAUAUGAUUCUGCUUGAAAAUCAACUUCCUUUUUUCGUUCUUGAAGACAUAUUCAACUCUGCUCACCCGGGUAUGAUUGUUGAAUUUCCCUACAAGGAUGUUAAAGGCAUAAACGACGACUACGCUGGCCCUAUUACAGAUGUUGAGUCUCUCUCCUUUAUUGCUAUUACUUUCCACUAUUUUCGAAAAUACAACCACUAUAUCAUAGAACCUGCCCAUAUUGAUCGUCCAUAUCAUUUCAUUGAUCUUCUAAGAAUCUUUUGGCUUCCAAUUCCAAUUCCUCCUGAAAGUCUAAAAUCAGGUUUUAUGGAUAAACUUAUACCAAGUGCAAGCCAACUAUCAGAGGUAGGUCUGAUAUUCAAAGCUAGUUUAACUCCAGGCUUGUUUGACAUAAAAUAUGAUCAUCAUAUGGGUGUUAUGGAAAUUCCAUGCAUACUUAUAAAUCACAAGACGGAGACGGAGUUGAGAAAUAUACUGGCAUUAGAGCAAUGUCGCUACAUACUUUCACCCAACAUGACUCAGUACUUGUUCAUCCUAGAUUGUCUUGUCAACACCGACAAAGACGCAAGCAUACUAAUUGAUAACAAAAUUUUUAUCAAUUGGUUGGGUGAUGCCAAUGCUGUGGCUAAAAUGUUUAACAGUCUUUGUUCAAAUGUUGGUCUGCCAUUUAUCAGUGAAGAGUGUUUUUCUCUCUGUGAUAACUUGGUUAAAUUCUAUGAAAAUCCUCGCAACAAGUACAAGGCUAUCUUUUAUCAUGAGUACUUCAACACUCCAUGGAAAAAAGCAUCUACAUCUGCUGCAGUUCUACUCCUUUUGCUCACUCUGAUUCAGACUAUAUGUUCCGUCAUCUCGUUUUUUUGAAGGACUCGGUUUAGCAUGAAUGAAAAUUCUAUAAAGCAUUAAACGUCAUUCCGGAAAAAUGAGAAUAAUCUGAAGCAGGCUAUUAUCUCAAGAUCUCAAGAGUGGAUCGAGCUGUGCAUGUUUAAGUGAUUUGCUGAAGAUUAAUCCUUAACAGCUUCACUAUCAGAGAACAAGCCACUCAUGCGAGUUUUAGGAGAUGCUUACAGUUGGACACAAGGAUGGGAUCUUUUUUGCUACUCGCUCUAAUUAACAACAAUUGAUUAUAUGUAGUUUAAGAAAUGAUGCUAUGUUUGCCUCAAAUAACCAUUAUUUGUUGUGGUUUUGAGAAUUCUGAGCCCUUCUAAGAGAACGAAUAAUGAUUGUUAUAUUGAAAUAAGAUAAAUAAGAUGAAUGCUAGUGAGAGAACUCUCUUUAAUUCAUUAAUUGAAAUUGAAAUUUAUUGAAAAUCAUUAAUAUCGGUCUCUUCAAUUCCGCACACCUUCACCGUUGGGAUUUGUGAGAUAUUAUUCAUGGAGAGAGAAAACGGAAUCGCACGAAGACAAUAUAAAUGGAGGCUUCAAUUCUUUUUCAUCAUCUUUAACGUUUGAGAACCUUAUUAGAGCAAUCAGAGAAAAAACUUGAGGAAUUUCAGGAAAUUACUAGAGAUGUCGCCGCUGUCACAAUACACACGUGAGCUCGCUUAGAGGUAAGGGAUGAGUUUAUUGCAAUUGGGGUUAGAAUGAACAUGUGUAAGGAUCCUUAGAGAAUUAAAUUUGGGUUAUAAUGAACAUGUGUAAGGGUCAUCGCUUAGAGGUAAGUGAUGAGUUUAUUGCAAUUGGGGUUAGAAUGAACAUGUGUAAGGAUCCUUAGAGAAUUAAAUUUAGGUUAUAAUGAACAUGUGUAAGGGUCGUCCAUUCUGAAUGAAAAGAAGUC